CCUACGGGAGGCAGCAGUGGGGAAUAUUGCACAAUGGGGGAAACCCUGAUGCAGCAACGCCGCGUGAGCGAUGAAGGCCUUCGGGUCGUAAAGCUCUGUCCUAAGGGAAGAAUAUUGACGGUACCUUAGGAGGAAGCCCCGGCUAACUACGUGCCAGCAGCCGCGGUAAUACGUAGGGGGCUAGCGUUAUCCGGACUUACUGGGCGUAAAGGGUGCGUAGGCGGCCCUUCAAGUCAGAGGUGAAAGGCUAGGGCCCAACCGUAGUAAGCCUUUGAAACUGUAGGGGUUGAGGGCAGGAGCGGAGAGUGGAAUUCCCAGUGUAGCGGCGAAAUGCGUAGAUAUUGGGAGGAACACCAGUUGAGAAGGCGGCUCUCUGGACUGUACCUGACGCUGAGGCACGAAAGCGUGGGGAGCGAACAGGAUUAGAUACCCGAGUAGUA
rnacentral:rRNA from 1 species